UGGCGGGGCAACGGCCCACCAAGGCGACGAUCGGUAGCCGGCCUGAGAGGGUGAUCGGCCACAUUGGGACUGAGAUACGGCCCAGACUCUACGGGAGGCAGCAGUAGGGAAUAUUGCACAAUGGGGGAAACCCUGAUGCAGCAACGCCACGUGUGGGAAGAAGCAUUUCGGUGUGUAAACCACUGUCAUGAGGGAAUAAGGCUCCCUCCGGGCGGGAUUGAAUGUACCUUGAGAGGAAGCACCGGCAAAUUCGUGCCAGCAGCCGCGGUAAUACGAGGGGUGCAAGCGUUGUUCGGAAUUACUGGGCGUAAAGGGAGCGUAGGCGGAGAUUCAAGCGGAUUGUACAAUCCCGGGGCCCAACCCCGGCUCUGCAGUCCGAACUGGAUCUCUUGGAUAGUUCAGGGGCAGGCGGAAUUCCUGG
rnacentral:rRNA from 1 species